rnacentral:ncRNA from 2 species
GUCGGAGACGGCGAUGGAUCCCGCCAGGGUGUGAGAGCCUCACCCCCAAACUGCCACCUCGGCUGAUGGUUCCUGACUCGUC